AGGGUUCGGUUCCGGAGAGGGAGCCUGAGAGAUGGCUACCACAUCCAAGGAAGGCAGCAGGCGCGAAAAUUGCCCAAUCUCAAUUCGAGGAGGCAGUGACGACAAAUAACAAUGCGGGGCUUUUCAAGUCUUGCAAUUGGAAUGAGUACAAUUUAAACCUUUUAACGAGGAUCAAUUGGAGGGCAAGUCUGGUGCCAGCAGCCGCGGUGAUUCCAGCUCCAAUAGCUUAUAUUAAAGUUGUUGCAGUUAAAAAGCUCGUAGUUGAAUUUCUCGUUGCGGCACGCCUGGCGGUGGUUUACUCCGCGGCCCGGCGCGCACGCAGCGUUUUCUGUGGAGGUAGCCUGUCUGGGGUUCACUCCUCGGGCAGCGCGAGACCACUCAGUUACUGUGAGCAAAACGGAGUGUUCAAAGCAGGCAAUCGCUUGAACGACUUAGCAUGGAAUAACAAUGCACGACUUGGUCUGCUUUGUUGGUUUUUGGGCCGAGUAAUGGUUAACAGGAACAGUUGGGGAUGUCUGUAUUUCCUAGUCAGAGGUGAAAUUCUUGGAUUUAGGGAAGACAAACGACUGCGAAAGCAUUCAUCAAGGAUGUUUUCAUUAAUCAAGAACGAAAGUUUGGGGAUCGAAGAUGAUUAGAUACCAUCGUAGUCCAAACCAUAAACGAUGCCGGCUCAGGAUCCUCAGACGUUGAUUACGACUCUGGGGGCACUGUAUGAGAAAUCAAAGCCUUUGGGUUCCGGGGGGAGUAUGAUCGCAAGAUUGAAACUUAAAGGAAUUGACGGAAGGGCACACCAGAGGUGGAGCCUGCGGUUUAAUUUGACCCAACACGGGGAAACUUACCAGGUCCAGACAUAGCGAGGAUUGACAGUUUGAAAGCACUUUCUUGAUUCUAUGGGUGGUGGUGCAUGGCCGUUCUUAGUUGGUGGAGUGAUUUGUCUGGUUGAUUCCGAUAACGAACGAGACCCGCGCACUUAAAUAGCUGGCGUAUUCUCACGAAUGCGCUGAGCUUCUUAUGUGGACAACUCUUGUUUAAAGAGGGGAAGCGGCGGGCAAUAACAGGUCUGUGAUGCCCUUAGAUGUUCUGGGCGACACGCGCGCUACAAUGAUUGGCUCAACGGGUCUCUCCUUGCCCGGAAGGGCAUGGGUAAUCCUUUCAAUACCAAUCGUGAUGGGGCUAGAUGCUUGCAAUUAUUCAUCUUCAACGAGGAAUCUCUAGUAUGUGCAUGUCAUCAGCGUGCGCAGAAUGCGUCCCUGCCCUUUGUACACACCGCCCGUCGCAGCUACCGAUUGGAAGGUCCGUUGAGACGUUGGGAGGCGCCUGUUUUGGGGACUUUCGGGUUUCCUGGCGGGUGCCGAACCUCUUCAAAACUUAUCUUCUAGAGGAAGCUGAAGUCGUAACAAGGUC
rnacentral:rRNA from 1 species